CGAAAACCCUGCUGGAAAUGGCUCCAGUAUGAUCAUAUUAGCAUUCUCUCUGCUUGGAUACUCUUUUCAGAUUCUGAAGAUUAAUAAUGUAAUCACCAUUUGUGAUUCAAAAUAUACUCCUGUUUUGUAAAUCCCUUAUUUAUGGGGGGAGAAGAUUGAAUGCCGUUCUUUGUUUUUAUGCAAUUAAAUUCAAUCCAUCCAUUUCUUAUCAAACUCUAUCCUUCUU
rnacentral:lncRNA from 1 species